AUCUCGUGUAAAUGUUUGUAGUCAUUCCAGGCACAAACUGUCUGUAUUGCGUCUAGCCAAGAAGAUAGCCAUACCAGCCGCAGGCCCGAUUUAAACUACUCGACAAAACCAUACGUCAAGCUACAUCACCACGCAACACUCGCCUUCAAACUUCUCGUGCUCCUCUGCUCUGUAUGUCACCAUCUUCGUGAACCUAAUCGAACUUGGUUUCCCUUGUCCAUCCUUCCCAGCAUCACUUGCACUCACCCCACGUAUAUCAGUCGACCCACUGGCAGUUUGGCUGCUUGCCGCCAUAAUCUAUAGGAGCUAUCCGAUAAACCGGGUGGUAUACGAUAACAACAUCGCGUUCUGCAGGAGCGGGCGUCUUUGCAGGGGCAAGUGGACUGACAGGUGCAAUUGUCAUCGGUGAAACCACUAUUCGUUGAGUGCGUUAAAGUGGGGCGCAGAUUCAAUGAUGCGAUAAAGGAUGUAAUGGAUUUAUAAGGGUGAGCACAAAACAGUGAGUAAGCUGAACGAACAAACCAGAGCAAGUUGGCAGGAGGUCUACUAUUGUCCCUCCUCAUUGUUUGGCCUAAAUGACGGGCCGUUUUACCACAGAAGCUCCGUCGUUAUCGUCUUUUGCUUAGAUGAAAUAAGGGGAUCUGCACUUUGAUGUGAGACGGUAUGCUGAAGGUGUCGUUUUGAUGGAUGACCCCACAGCAGUGGUACAAUCGCUAUAACCACUGUCCUCUCAAACGUCGAGCAGCGAAAAAGUGGAAUUGCCUGAUCGUGUGCAAGAACGGUGCGCUUGGCUUCAGUCACGGGCAGCAGGCUCAUUCUGGAAGGCCGAAAAGUGCUUGGAUAUAUAUAUGAGACGUGAUACGCCCCAUUUUCCUAUUUUUUGCGCAUACGGACAUACCGUUACCACAUGCGUCGCAGCUUCACCACCCUCAAAUUGGCGACAUAAAGACCUCAAAAUGUUCCACUUUGGGCAGCUCCGAACUCUUAGAUUUUGAUCGACGACAUAUGAUCGAUUAAAAUGUCCGUGCAUCAAUGUCAUUAUUAGCGCCCACGCGUUAAAUAUAUAGAUCAUCCGCCGACAGAUUGCCUGACCUCAAUAUCCGAUGAUCAAAACUGCUGCCGCUCUCAUCUCGUAACAUAGUUCACAGCAAGGAACUACGUAUAGAGGUAUAAUGUAGGUAAGGAUGUAUUAGACACAAUGAUUAUGAGCAUUCAGGAUGUUGUGAAUUGAGAGUUGAUCCUGCCUUCUUCUUCCUCCCGUCAGCCCGCGCGACGUUUCCCUUUACCUCCUUUGCCAACAGCGGUAGACGGAAGGACUCGCUCGCUUUAUUAUGUUUAUUUAUUUGCAGCGGAUGAUUACUUACUACUCGCUAUCCCUUUCACACACAGUCGG
rnacentral:sRNA from 1 species